GACGAACGCUGGCGGCGUGCUUAACACAUGCAAGUCGAACGGAAAGGCCCUGCUUGCCGGGUACUCGAGUGGCGAACGGGUGAGUAACACGUGGGUGAUCUGCCCUGCACUUCGGGAUAAGCCUGGGAAACUGGGUCUAAUACCGGAUAGGAGCCAUUUUUAGUGUGAUGGUUGGAAAGUUUUUUCGGUGUAGGAUGAGCUCGCGGCCUAUCAGCUUGUUGGUGGGGUAAUGGCCUACCAAGGCGGCGACGGGUAGCCGGUCUGAGAGGGUGGACGGCCACAUUGGGACUGAGAUACGGCCCAGACUCCUACGGGAGGCAGCAGUGGGGAAUAUUGCACAAUGGGCGCAAGCCUGAUGCAGCGACGCCGCGUGGGGGAUGACGGCCUUCGGGUUGUAAACUCCUUUCGCUAGGGACGAAGCUUUUUGUGACGGUACCUAGAUAAGAAGCACCGGCUAACUACGUG
rnacentral:rRNA from 1 species